GACAGAGGUGCCAAGCGUUAGGCGGAAUUACUGGGCGUAAAGAGCUCGUAGGUGGUUUGUCGCGUUGUCCGUGAAAACUCACAACUCAAUUGUGGGCGUGCGGGCGAUACGGGCAGACUGGAGUACUGCAGGGGAGACUGGAAUUCCUGGUGUAGCGGUGGAAUGCGCAGAUAUCAGGAGGAACACCGGUGGCGAAGGCGGGUCUCUGGGCAGUAACUGACGCUGAGGAGCGAAAGCGUGGGGAGCGAACAGG
rnacentral:rRNA from 1 species